GCCCGUCCUUUCAUCCUUCAGGGGUGUUUUAACCAGAGAUAAACCCUUCCAACAUUGUGUGGGACUGUAGUUUGCUUAACAACAGUCUCAGAGGAGGCCUGCUGAUGCGCCAAAGUCUUUUUCAGUUGCCCAUACUUGGUUGUGUUCAUUGGGGAGGCCUUUAAAAGUACAGCAUGUGGAUCGGCGUGCCUCAAAACUGCAAGGGUGGGCAGGAGACACGGAGAUUAAGAACGGGAGCCUAAGGACGCGAGUUCAAUCCCUGGGACCUACAUAAAGGUGGACGGAAGAACUUACUGCCCAAAGUUGUCCUCUGAUUUCCAUAUGCACACCAGGGCAUGCAAGGGCAUGUGCACACACAUACAAGCACAUGUGCAAAAUAAUAAAGAAAUGAGUGAUUUUA